rnacentral:rRNA from 1 species
AUUGAACGCUGGCGGAAUGCUUUACACAUGCAAGUCGAACGGCAGCACGGGGGCAACCCUGGUGGCGAGUGGCGAACGGGUGAGUAAUACAUCGGAACGUGCCCAGUCGUGGGGGAUAACGUAGCGAAAGCUACGCUAAUACCGCAUACGAUCUACGGAUGAAAGCGGGGGAUCGCAAGACCUCGCGCGAUUGGAGCGGCCGAUGGCAGAUUAGGUAGUUGGUGGGGUAAAGGCUCACCAAGCCUUCGAUCUGUAGCUGGUCUGAGAGGACGACCAGCCACACUGGGACUGAGACACGGCCCAGACUCCUACGGGAGGCAGCAGUGGGGAAUUUUGGGACAAUGGGCGAAAGCCUGAUCCAGCCAUGCCGCGUGCAGGAUGAAGGCCUUCGGUUGUAACGUAGCUUUUGUUACGGUACGAAAGAACGUACU